rnacentral:rRNA from 1 species
CCCUUAGAUGUCCUGGGCCGCACGCGUGCUACACUGACGCCUACAGCGAGUACUUCCCAGCCCCGAGAGGCGGCUGGUAAUCAGCAAUAGGCGUCGUGAUGGGGAUAGAUCUUUGGAAUUAUGGAUCUUGAACGAGGAAUGCCUAGUAAGCGCAGGUCAUUAGCCUGCGCUGAUUACGUCCCUGCCCUUUGUAUACACCGCCCGUCGCUACUACCGAUUUCGAGUGGUCCGGUGAAGCUUUUGGACUGCGCGUGGCUUCGUGCCGUGUCGCGGAAAGUCAGCUAAACCUUAUCACUUAGAGGAAGUAAAAGUCGUAACA